AUGCCACAAUAACAAAAUUAAUAAAAAUAAGUAAAUCAAAAUGAAGUAGAAGAACCCAGAUUCCAAAUGAACAAAUGCCAAUAGACAAACAAAAAAAAGUUCACACUAUAAUCCGAUUGGUAAUGUAU
rnacentral:sRNA from 1 species